rnacentral:rRNA from 1 species
AUUGAACGCUGGCGGCAUGCCUUACACAUGCAAGUCGAACGGUAACAGGUCUUCGGAUGCUGACGAGUGGCGAACGGGUGAGUAAUACAUCGGAACGUGCCUAGUAGUGGGGGAUAACUACUCGAAAGAGUGGCUAAUACCGCAUGAGAUCUACGGAUGAAAGCAGGGGAUCGCAAGACCUUGUGCUACUAGAGCGGCCGAUGGCAGAUUAGGUAGUUGGUGGGAUAAAAGCUUACCAAGCCGACGAUCUGUAGCUGGUCUGAGAGGACGAUCAGCCAGACUGGGACUGAGACACGGCCCAGACUCCUACGGGAGGCAGCAGUGGGGAAUUUUGGACAAUGGGCGAAAGCCUGAUCCAGCAAUGCCGCGUGCAGGAUGAAGGCCUUCGGGUUGUAAACUGCUUUUGUACGGAACGAAAAGCCCUGGGUUAAUACCCUGGGGCCAUGACGGUACCGUAAGAAUAAGCACCGGCUAACUACGUGCCAGCCGCCGCGGUAACAC